UGGCUCAGGAUGAACGCUAGCUACAGGCUUAACACAUGCAAGUCGAGGGGCAGCGGGGAGGAAGCUUGCUUUCUCUGCCGGCGACCGGCGCACGGGUGAGUAACGCGUAUCGAACCUGCCUCAUACUCGGGAAUAGCCUUGCGAAAGUAAGAUUAAUGCCCGAUGUUUUCAGCGGUCCGCAUGAACUGCUGAACAAAGAUUUAUCGGUAUGAGAUGGCGAUGCGUCCCAUUAGCUUGUUGGUGGGGUAACAGCCCACCAAGGCAUCGAUGGGUAGGGGUUCUGAGAGGAAGGUCCCCCACAUUGGAACUGAGACACGGUCCAAACUCCUACGGGAGGCAGCAGUGAGGAAUAUUGGUCAAUGGACGCAAGUCUGAACCAGCCAAGUAGCGUGCAGGAUGACGGCCCUCCGGGUUGUAAACUGCUUUUAGUUGGGAAUAAAGUGCAGCUCGUGAGCUGUUUUGUAUGUACCAUCAGAAAAAGGACCGGCUAAUUCCGUGCCAGCAGCCGCGGUAAUACGGAAGGUCCGGGCGUUAUCCGGAUUUAUUGGGUUUAAAGGGAGCGCAGGCGGACUCUUAAGUCAGUUGUGAAAUACGGCGGCUCAACCGUCGGACUGCAGUUGAUACUGGGAGUCUUGAGUGCACACAGGGAUGCUGGAAUUCAUGGUGUAGCGGUGAAAUGCUCAGAUAUCAUGAAGAACUCCGAUCGCGAAGGCAGGUAUCCGGGGUGCAACUGACGCUGAGGCUCGAAAGUGCGGGUAUCAAACAGGAUUAGAUACCCUGGUAGUCCGCACAGUAAACGAUGAAUACUCGCGGUUGGCGAUACAAUGUCAGCCGCCAAGCGAAAGCGUUAAGUAUUCCACCUGGGGAGUACGCCGGCAACGGUGAAACUCAAAGGAAUUGACGGGGGCCCGCACAAGCGGAGGAACAUGUGGUUUAAUUCGAUGAUACGCGAGGAACCUUACCCGGGCUUGAACU
rnacentral:rRNA from 1 species